rnacentral:lncRNA from 1 species
UGCAAUCAACUACUCUGUACUAGGCCAUAAAAGUACAAAGAUACAGUCAACAUUAAAAGAAAAUUAAGGAGGCAUUAACUGCUUUAAAAAUUAAAGGGGUAAUACAGACACUGAGUUGGGCUGUGAAGAAAGGAAUUUCAACAAUAAAGUUAAGUUGGAAGCAUAGCCAGCAAAAGAUGGGAGAGUGCAAGACAAGAAUAGAAAUGGAAUAAUUCGAUUGGGCUAAGUGGAGACUAUGAAAGGGACUUUGUAUGAGAGAAUAGUGGAAAGAAGGUUGUAGCUCUGUGAAGAGAACAUGGAGUGAAGGGUCAGAAGGGGCUUUGUUCCCUAAGCAACAGGGCAGCAAUAGCUUUCCAUAAAAGUGACACAAAAUGAUUCACUAGUAAGAUUACCCAAGCACUGCUGUGAAGAAUGAGUUGGGGAAUAGGUGCACUGGAAUAAUACUGAAGAGUAAUUUUAACCUACAUUCAAAAGCAUUUUAAAGAACAAAGACUACAAGAGCACUAGCAUCCUGACUUUGUACUCGCUAACUAGAUAACCUUGGACAAGUCAUAUCACUGCAAGACUUCAGUUUUCUCUUCUAAGAAAAUGAGUAGAUGACAACUACAAAUUUGUCAUCACCAUAAUUCAUCAAUGGCUAGGGGGCUGGAUGAUUUAUCUACAGUAGAGUUCUAAACCUGGGGUCAGUGAACUUUUGUUUUAGAAAAUAGUUUGAUGGCAUUUCAAUUUAAUGGUUUCCUUUAUUAAAAUGUAUUUUUAUGCAGUUAAAUACCUAAUGGUGAGGAGGAAUCCAUCAUACCACGAAGGUAUUUUUUUUUUUUGGGGGGGGGGAGGAGGGAAGCCCGUGGGAUUUAAAGAAGACUUAGUGAUGUAAAAUGGACAAGUCUAUCAAAAAGCUUUGAAGAGAUUGCAAUUUAUUAGUUAAGAGGCUAUUAACUCAGGUUUACAUAGUAUGCCUGCAUAGCUACAAUCGUAAGGGUCAGAGCCCUAGAUUCAAAGAUUCCUUAGAAUUCCUAGGACUUACAUAGCUGGUGGAGACCUUAAAGAUCACUUAGUACAGAAAUUCUUAGUCUUUUUUGCAUCGUGGACCCCUUUGACAAUCUAUGGACCUGUUCUCAGAAUAUUUUUAAAUCCAUGAAAUAAAAUACAUGGGGUUAACAAAGGAAACCGUGAUGUUGAAAUAUAGCUAUUAAAAUAUUAAAUAAGAUAGUUGAGGAAACUGAAGCCCAAAAAGUGAAGUAAUAAAUGACCAAAUUCACGGGGAGCCAGAGUGCCCUUCAAACCAAGUUCUUUCAAAUCUUUGACUCAAAUUCCUGAAUUAUCCUGUUUUCCUGAUUCCCAAGUCUUCAAGGUAUUGUAUAUGCAUGGAAUUUUCUUGUGCAGUCAUCCUAGGGAAAAGCCAAUCUACCUUAAACCUACUGUAAUCUAAAUCCCACCCCAUAGACUAAAAGAGGAAUCUCAUUAUGAAUUACCUGAUUCAACCAAUGAAGAUUACAGGCAUGACUCCCCUGGCCUUCAACAGAAAUUUUAUGCUAUGCUUAAGAUCAGUUCCUCCAACAAGAAGUAUGAGGAAGACUAAAACAUACUUGCCAAAGUGAUAUUCUUUGGUUAGGUCUAAUUAAAUUAUUUCCUUGAUGAAAAAAUACUAUCACCUCAAGAAUGAAAACAAAUUUCUCUCUGGCAUUUACAGUCUUUCACGACAUGGAUCCACCCUGGCUUUCUCAUUGGCUCUCAAAUUACUUUUCAUGAAUACUACAAUCUACCCUAACUGGCCUUCUCCAGGCCUUUGUGCCAGAUUUGCUUGGAAGGUACUCCUUCCUGUCUCUUUAAAAUUCCUGGUUUCCCUCAGGGUACAACUCAAGGGCCAUUUUCUAUGUGAUGUCUUCUCUCUCCCCUCCUUCCCAGAUUCCCGAGGUGUAUCUAGUUCACACCUACUCCCAAAUCCAACCAGGUGGGAGAAUAGUGGUACCUUUGGCAGUAAUAGCAUAAUUUAGACGAGGAAGGUUUGAAGGGAAAGAUAAUGAGUUCUUUGGACAAGUAGAAUUUGAAAUGUCUGUUGAGACAAUAACCAGUAAGAGAUGUCCAAAAGGUCUAGAGUACAGGACAAGGAUAACAUAUAUAGACUUGAGAUUCAUCUGUAUAGAGAUAAAUCUAUGGGAGCUAAUAUGGUCACCAAGUGAGAGAAUAAAACUGGGGGAAAGAAUCGGGAUCUGGAAAGAACCUUAGAGGAACUGCAAAGUUAUUGGGUGGGUGUGAUAGGAAGAUCCAGCAAGGGAAAUUGAAAACAUCAGGAGAUAAAUGUCAUAAAGAUCUAGAAAGAAAGAAAGAUCUCCAAGAGGAGAUGGCUAUCAUCAGUGCCAAAGCUUGCAGAACAGAUUAAAAAUUAUAAGGACUGGGGAAAAACAGACCAUUAGAGUAUAAUUGGUACAAGAAUGGGGGGAAAGGGGGAAUUCGGGAAAGAGCAAGAAGCUGAAUAAUGAAAAAAUAUGAUCAGAUAAAAGAAUUCCAGAUUUCAUGAAAUUCGAAGUAAAAAUAGUGUGUUAGAUCAAGGAUAUAAUCUGUCACUAAACAUCUCAAGGCAUUGAAUUCAAAUUUAGAUGAAUGAACUUUCAGGUCUCUCCACUUUAAAACAUCACUAAUGACUAACCUCUUUGCUUUGCCAUUUGCAAAUUUCUUCAUCCUCAAUUCUGUGAGAGAGAGGACUGGUGUAGCUUGUUUUCUACAUUUCUCAAAUGUGAAUACGAAGACAGGUUCAGAUACUUGUCUAGGAUCACACCACCAGGUAUUGGUCAAACUAGGAUUUGAAUCAAUCUCCAGAUAUACAGUAGUAUAUCUUUUCAUGGGAUAUCACCCAGUCAGCUGAGAACAACCCGAGUUAGCUUCUUCCCCUUGAAUCAAAAGGGCCCACCCUCAUCCUAGGAAAUGUCCUUGUCCCUUACUUAAGAAUCCUUGCCUUCUUUUCAUAGAAAUUGAUGGCUUUCUCAUUCCAGUCAUACCACAUUUUCCAAAUUUUAGCAACAGUGGUACAAAAUCUGUACAUAACUAUUUGAAUGUUUCCUCCAUUAGAGAAUGAGCUUCUUGAAAUCAGGAGCUGCUUUUUUCCCCUUUUGUAUCCCCAUUGCUUGACAUGGUUCCUCUGGCACAUAGUAGGUGCUUAAUAAAUACUUGAUGACUUGACAAAAAUUUGUAUGAUCUCUAUUGGAGUUCCAGUUCUGUUGUUAAUGCACUGGGGGACCAGGGGCAAGUAAUUUUCUCUUGAUCUCAAGUUUUUUCAUCAACAAAGUAUAGGGUAUACAAAAACCACGUUCUAUAGUGGAAGAGCAUAUAUACUUUACAAAGUUAAAUUUGUAUUAACAGGCACAAAGUAAUUUUGAUGACUGGUGGGGUAUCAUAAGCUGGUGGGGAUCAAGACCGACCUCAUAUAUAAUCUAAUGCUUAAAAAGAACUUUGGGAAAAAAAUAGGGAUUUUAAAAGGCAGCACUAAGGAUGGUGAAAUGAUCAAGCCUGAAGGGAAACUGAAACAGUGGACUGCUGUGAAUGAGGAGUAAUUGUAUGCUAGAUUGGAAUGUGUGACAGGGAGUAAUAUAAGGCUAGAAAGAUUUGAGGUCAGAUUUUGUGUACCCUAAAUGCCAGAGGAAUUCAUAUUUGAUCCUGGUGGAUUGGACUACAUGAUCUCCAAGGUCCUUUCUGGCCCCAGGAUCAAUUGAUACUAAACUUUGUUGAGGAAAUUAUAGAAAGAAAGCCCCAUAUAAGGGUGCCUGGUGCUGAGCUUAUGGCAUUUGAACCAAAACCCUCAUCUUUCACCUGUGUUCUUCUAACUUCUCUCACUUAAAAUGUCCAGGAGGACAAGGUUCACUUCAGGGUUCUACCUACUUUUUUCAUGUCCCCUUAUGAGACAGAACCAUUGCUGUUUUCCUCCUCCCCUUCCCUGAUGGUCCUGCACUGUGAACUUCCUUGGUUUCUCUUGCUGAGUACAAAGUCUAAGAACUUAGAGUGCUUUAUACAAGUUUAGUUUUAUUUUGUUUUUCUAUUGUUUUGCCUGUGGAAAACAAGAAAUAAAGUAUGUGUGUGGAGAUUUAAGUCUUGGCACUUACCUUUCAAUAUUUCAGGUUUCUUAUCUGUGAAAGGACUGAACUGGAUCAGCUUCUUAUGUUUUAUCUUAGCCUAAGGAAAAUGAUGGCUUCUUAGGCUGAAGCUCUGUAUUAAAAACUAAACAAUAAAUUUCAUUAUUGAUUUUUUUAAAGGAGGGAAGCAAAGCCUGUUUUGUUUUGUUUUGUUUUGUUUUUUUUAAUUUGUGGGGCUGGUGCUACCAAAACUAUAUUCCAG